GUCCAGGGAUGGGAAUCGAACCCACAGUGUUCCGCUUACCGGGCAGAUGCCAUGUCCACUAGGUCACCCUGGA